CCUACGGGGGGCUGCAGUGGGGAAUUUUGGACAAUGGGCGCAAGCCUGAUCCAGCCAUGCCGCGUGUCUGAAGAAGGCCUUCGGGUUGUAAAGGACUUUUGUUAGGGAAGAAAAGGAAGCGGUUAAUACCCGUUUCUGCUGACGGUACCUAAAGAAUAAGCACCGGCUAACUACGUGCCAGCAGCCGCGGUAAUACGGAGGGUGCAAGCGUUAAUCGGAAUUACUGGGCGUAAAGCGAGCGCAGACGGUUACUUAAGCAGGAUGUGAAAUCCCCGGGCUCAACCUGGGAACUGCGUUCUGAACUGGGUAGCUAGAGUAUGUCAGAGGGGGGUAGAAUUCCACGUGUAGCAGUGAAAUGCGUAGAGAUGUGGAGGAAUACCGAUGGCGAAGGCAGCCCCCUGGGAUAAUACUGACGUUCAUGCUCGAAAGCGUGGGUAGCAAACAGGAUUAGAUACCCCAGUAGUC
rnacentral:rRNA from 1 species